ensembl:miRNA
CAUCUCAGUGCUGAGGGUCUUCACGGUGAUGGAGCUGAGUGAGCUGAGGGGCUGCACGGUGAUGGAGCUGAGUGCCUGUCAGCCCUGAGGG